rnacentral:lncRNA from 1 species
AACACAAUAAAAGAGGCUACGACUCUCAAACUCGACUUAAAGUCGACCUGGGUGUUGCAUAUUGAUGGAGCAUCAAAUGCACAAGAUAGUGGAACUGACCUAAUAUUGACGAAUUUCGAAGGCGUAGUCUUCGGAUACGUCCUUCGGUUCAACUUUAAAGCCUCAAAUAAUCAAGCCGAAUAUGAAGCACUUUUGGUCGGCUUGAAGAUAGCCAAAGAGCUCA